rnacentral:tRNA from 1 species
UGGUGAGUUGGCAGAAUAGUGCCACCGACUUAGAAUCGGUUCAUGGGUAAUACCCACUCACUAGAUAUC